UACGAAGGGGGCUAGCGUUGUUCGGAAUUACUGGGCGUAAAGAGCGCGUAGGCGGCUACGUAAGUCAGGGGUGAAAUCCCGGGGCUCAACCCCGGAACUGCCUUUGAUACUGGUGGUCUUGAGUUCGAGAGAGGUGAGUGGAAUUCCGAGUGUAGAGGUGAAAUUCGUAGAUAUUCGGAGGAACACCAGUGGCGAAGGCGGCUCACUGGCUCGAUACUGACGCUGAGGUGCGAAAGCGUGGGGAGCAAACAGG
rnacentral:misc_RNA from 1 species